CCUACGGGGGGCAGCAGUGAGGAAUAUUGGUCAAUGGGCUUACGCCUGAACCAGCCAAGUCGCGUGAGGGAAGACUGCCCUAUGGGUUGUAAACCUCUUUUGUCAGGGAGCAAUUGGCGCUACGUGUAGCGUUAUCGAGAGUACCUGAAGAACAAGCAUCGGCUAACUCCGUGCCAGCAGCCGCGGUAAUACGGAGGAUGCGAGCGUUAUCCGGAUUUAUUGGGUUUAAAGGGUGCGUAGGCGGAAUGCCAAGUCAGCGGUAAAAUCGCGGGGCUCAACCUCGCUCCGCCGUUGAAACUGGCGGUCUUGAGUGGGCGAGAAGUAUGCGGAAUGCGUGGUGGAGCGGUGAAAUGCAUAGAUAUCACGCAGAACUCCGAUUGCGAAGGCAGCAUACCGGCGCCCAACUGACGCUGAAGCACGAAAGCGUGGGUAUCGAACAGGAUUAGAUACCCGGGUAGUC
rnacentral:rRNA from 1 species